CGGGAAGAACCUUUACCAGGUGUUUGACAUUUUUUUUUUACCAACUUUAGGGAUUUGGGGGUUUUCCUUUGGGGGGGGAAAAAACCAGGUGGUGCCAUGGUUGUCUUCAACUCGUUUCUGAGAAAUUUUGGUUAAAUCCCGCAAAAGAGUGCAACCCUUUUUUUCAGUUGCCCCAGCAUUUAGUUGGGCAUUUUGGGGAGACUGCCGGGGACAAACCGGAGGAAGGUGGGGAUGACGUCAAAUCAUCAUGCCCCUUAUGACCUGGGCUACACACGUGCUACAAUGGACGGUACAACGAUCGGGAAAACCGCGAGGUCAAGCUAAUUUUUUAAAGCCGUUUUCAGUUCGGAUUGUAGGUUGCAACUCGCUUACAUGAAGUUGGAAUCGCUAGUAAUNCGUGGAUCAGC
rnacentral:rRNA from 1 species